UAAAACGCAAUGAGAGGAAUAAGUAGUCUGCCUUCCCUGUUACGAAGAGAGUCAGUGGGUGCUGUGAACUGACACAAAAGGCCGAUGAAUUACAUCCUGGAGCUUUUGCCGUGAACACUAGUAGCGGCAAACGGUGAGAGCCGUUAUUUCGAAUGAGUGAAGGAUGAUAUUCCUUAAUUUGGGUGGUACCGCGCGACAGCGUCCCUGCA
rnacentral:ncRNA from 1 species